rnacentral:misc_RNA from 1 species
GUGAUGCUUGUGCGCUCUAUUCCAGCCUGAACCUGGGGCUUUUUCGUAACAAAAGAUGUGUUUAUACGUUUGGAUGAAAGAAGCUAACAUGGUAUCCACGGGGAAACGGUCUAGAGGUCCGUGCGAUGCGGAAAGGAUGCGGUUCAAAGCUCGCUACGCAGGCACCCGGCAGCGGUAGGGCAACGCUGCGGUGCUUGCACGCUCAACACGCAGAGCGAACGCUUACGCGUAACCGGGCACCCUGCGACUAUUACGCUUGCACAAACACCCAUAAGAACAUAUACUGGAAGUGGUCAGGCCUAUAUGCGGCCGUCGCUGUCGGGUGAACGAGGCGGCCGCGCAUAGGCCGUGCGUUACCCGUGCACCGUCCGGUAGAGUCGCGCCCGUGCACUGUAUGUAUGUAUGUAUGUAUGUAUGUAUGUAUGUAUGUAUGUAUGUAUGUAUGUAUGUAUGUAUGUAUGUAUGUAUGUAUGUAUGUAUGUAUGUAUGUAUGUAUGUAUGUAUGUAUGCGUGCGUGCGUGCGUGCGUGCGCCCAUCUUCAAGGAUACAGACUACCGGACACAGAGGCGACGGGUGCUGCGAGCAGUACCAGUGGUACCCGCGCGUCACGUCCAUCCUAAAGUCCAGUCUCUGGGGGGCGCCCAUCUUCAAGGAUACAGACUACCGGACACAGAGGCGACGGGUGCUGCGAGCAGUACCAGUGGUACCCGCGCGUCACGUCCAUCCUAAAGUCCAGUCUCUGGGGUGCGCCCAUCUUCAAGGAUGCAGACUACCGGACACAGAGGCGACGGGUGCUGCGAGCAGUACCAGUGGUACCCGCGCGUCACGUCCAUCCUAAAGUCCAGUCUCUGGGGGGCGCCCAUCUUCAAGGAUACAGACUACCGGACACAGAGGCGACGGGUGCUGCGAGCAGUACCAGUGGUACCCGCGCGUCACGUCCAUCCUAGAGUCCAGUCUCUGGGGGCUGUGCUCGCUGCCUGCAGGCAUCGCGCAUGCCGACGCGGGACGCACCCUGUGUCCUCGUGUCGCUAACCAACUCUACCUGUUUGUCGCUUUUCGGGCACGACAGGAAAUCCAUCACUUGGCAUCAGGGUGAUCCGUUCAUCGGGGUGCACGCUCUCGAAACCUUUUUCACAUUACAGAAUUCCAAAACGAACCAGAUAUUCGGGAACAGUGCCAGCGUCGGAGAACAUGCCCUGCUCCGCGACGAGUGCCGGCACCGGCACCACUGGCGCACUCAGAAGCGUGGCCUGCAUCGCUCGUGGUGUCUGUGUUCGUGCCGAUAUACCGCCUCCGCCCUGAACGCCAUUCUGCGAAAAAUCGGCAACGGACGGUCGCCUGUCUCCGCACCAGCGUGAACACUGCAUUGUACCUGAUACUGUCAGAAAAAACGAUACGUCUGGCAUACGACCUUUCGAGGUCACAGAAUCACCGCAGCCGUUCAGAGCACAUCGGCGAGCUCGCGCACAUUCGCGCGUAGCAGCUCCAGCAUUUCGGCGCUGACGUGGUACUCGACGGCGCCACCAGUCAGAGUGCCUGGUUGCAUGCAGGCAAAAGGAAUGCCCAGAUCCGCGCUAGCCAUACCGGUUACCCCGAAGGUUCGCAUGAUCAUGGAGCUCGUUUCCGAAAAGUGCUCACUGGCUUCCACGGGGCUUGCAUUAUCCGGAAUGGGCUGCACGAAAAGCGUACUAUACUGAGCUGCGACCCCAGCCAGUAGCGAGUUGAGUUUCUCAAUCACCGUUUGAGCUGCCUUGGUGGGCGUCACGUUUCGGGAUACCGGCAACCAUGGCCGAUUGUAGUGCACAUCGACAUUGUUCCAGACCAUGAGCUGUACCUUGGCGUCAGUCUCUCCGUUCUGACGCAUUUGGAAGAGCUCCUCCAUAAACGUCUCGACGCGGUGGAAGUCC